rnacentral:rRNA from 1 species
UCUGGCGGCAUUAGCGCGGUGGUCCCACCUGACCCCAUGCCGAACUCAGAAGUGAAACGCCGUAGCGCCGAUGGUAGUGUGGGGUCUCCCCAUGCGAGAGUAGACCCUUGGUAAGGG